CAUUGAGAAGCUAUACAGCGUCAGCCUUUUAWGUUGAAGACUGAGAG
rnacentral:tRNA from 1 species